ensembl:lncRNA
AGCGGGUGAGAGAAGGAGACUCAAUGCUGAAGUUUUGGAGCCUGGAGCACAGAGGAAGGCUUCUCUCCGGAUUGUGUUGGAAGCAAGGAAGAAGAGUUGUAUUAUACCUGGAGAAGGAUGUAGCUUUACACACCACUCACUCGCCCACAGUGAGGGGAACUGUGGCGAUUCAGCUCACAUAAACCCAAACACCAAUGCUAAGGACCUGAGCCCUAGGACCAUGCCUCAGGUCUACCUGGCCUGAUGACUCCUUGCUGUCCCCAGUCCACUUGGUCAUGCAGCUGCUCAAGUUUCAACUCUUCUGCCUGCGGCUAUGGAACCCAGACCUGUUCAUUGGACGUGCUACCUUGUCCCGGACAUGCUAUUUUGACUCUCUCUCCACCGCACCUGCUGUCUCUGAAUGAUCGGCUAUGAAAAGCCAACUGACAUUUACUCCUGAGGUUGCACUGAGGUUGCACUUACUCCUGUUGCACCCUCUACAACCACUGUGAUUAUUAUUAUCUGACCCUGCUGGUCAUCUAUGAACGUUUGAACAUCUUGGCCAUGUUCUGUUAUAAUCUCCACCUGGCACAGCCAGAAGAGAACUGGCCACUCCUCAGAUUCUGGUUCCUCUCUAGAUUUCCUCCUAGGUUCUGGCCUUUCUAGGGAGUUUUUCCUAGACACUGUACAUCUGCAUUGCUUGCUGUUUGGGGUUUUAGGCAGGGUUUCUGUACAGCACUUUGUGACAUCGGCUGAUGUAAAAAAAGGCUUUAUAAAUACAUUUGGUUGAUUGAUUGAUUACAUUUGAUUGUAUGGCAAUUGCUCGGCCUCCGACCUCAAGGCACUACAGAGUGUAGUGUGUACGGCCCAGUACAUCCCUGGGCCCAAGCUUCCUGCCAUCCAGGACCUCUAUACCAGGCGGUGUCAGAGGAAGGCCCUAAAAAUUGUCAAAGUAAGUAAUCGUUUCACUGUAAGGUUGUAUGUGACAAAUACAAUUUGAUUUGAUUUGACAAAGAAAUCAUACAAAAAAAUGUCCC